rnacentral:misc_RNA from 1 species
GAUGAAGAACGUAGUGAAAUGCGAUACUUGGUGUGAAUUGCAGAAUCCCGUGAACCAUCGAGUCUUUGAACGCAAGUUGCGCCCGAAGCCAUUAGGCCGAGGGCACGCCUGCCUGGGCGUCACACGUCGUUGCCCCCCCAUCUACUCCUUCGGGAUUGCGGGGGGCGGAUGAUGGCCUCUCGUGCGCCUCGUCGCGCGGUUGGCCUAAAUGCCAAGUCCUCGGCGACGCACGCCACGACAAUCGGUGGUUGCGAAACCUCGGUUGCCUGUCGUGUGCGGUCGUCGCGCAUCGAGGGCUCGAAAAAAUUGCCGGGCUUAGGCUCGACUUUCAACGCGACCCCAGGUCAGGCGGGGUUACCCGCUGAAUUUAAGCAUAUCAAUAAGCGGAGGA